rnacentral:rRNA from 1 species
UACAGAGGUCUCAAGCGUUGUUCGGAUUCAUUGGGCGUAAAGGGCGCGUAGGUGGCGCGGCAAGCGUGCGGUGAAAGCUCGGGGCUCAACCCCGAGUCGGCCGUGCGAACUGCUGUGCUUGAGCACUGUAGAGGCAGGCGGAAUUCCGGGUGUAGCGGUGGAAUGCGUAGAGAUCCGGAAGAACACCGGUGGCGAAGGCGGCCUGCUGGGCAGUGGCUGACACUGAGGCGCGACAGCGUGGGGAGCAAACAGG